rnacentral:lncRNA from 1 species
UGUUGACGGUUCUUAAGUAUCAAUUUUAAUUAUCAAAUAAACAUGAGAAAGGACCAAUAUGCAACCAGCACCAAGAAUUAGGGUUUGAUCUGACAGAAUUCCACGAGUUUUGUUGUUUAUCUAUUUCUGCAGGGGGUUAUCAGGAAAUAAGGAAGAAAGGCCCACAUGUCGGGAUUACAUAGAGAUAUCAACACACCGCGUAAUUUUACAUCAUCUAGAAGACUCCAGAAGCCACGAGACCGAAGCGGAGGCAAAACUGGGCCAAGCCCAGGGCGCCCGCCCUGGUAGCCUGGGCGCCCGCCCCCCUGCUGGAACCAAUUCAGGACUCCUUCGCUCGGGAUAUUCCACCGACCUAUUGGAUCAAGGAAAACAUAGUACCACCUCGGCUAUCGACCCAAAAACGCAUAGAAGGGGAGGACUAUAUAAGCGAGGCCCCCUGGCCCCUGGAGGAGACAUGAAGAAAUUAUCAUAGAGACUGAGGGGUGCCCUUGAAGGAAAACCUCUUCUCUAAUUAAUAUUUCUUUUUAGGCUUAGCAAUCAAUGUAAGGUAGAAAUAGAUCUUCUAGUUUCUACUAGAUUGGGAGAGAUAGAGUGGAGG